rnacentral:lncRNA from 1 species
UAGGUUUCGUGUCUUCUUAAUAGGUCUUUAUAAAUAGUAAGAAUUUUGAAUUCUUACAUUUUGUUGAAUCUAUAAGUAUCAAUUUAUGGGUAUAUAUUUGAUUUGACAGCAAGCAUUUUCGAUGAUUAAGGAUUUCAUAUAUUUCUUAGGUCAUUUUAUUUAAUUAGUAGGUUCUCAUAUUAUUUGUUUUGUUUGUUUUUGUUAUUUGUAGAUGACUUCCAAAUGUCAAUGCUCCAUCACCAUGCCGAUCUCGAUUAAUGAGGGUGAAGAUACCCAGUGCUAGCACGAGGACUCCUGUCCGGUCGUAAAAGGGUAAGAGAUAUGUAGGAAUGUUGGAGAACAUCAUUGUGUGUUUGGAAAAAUAUUUGCAAUGUCAUUUUGUGUACCAUCAUUAGGCAAAAUUUUGGAUGAUGGUAUAGUUUUGAGUUUCAAUGUAAAAUUGAAAUGGAGACAAUGGCAUUUUAUUUCAGUAGUGACAUGUUGUUCAGGUCUUACAUUGUGUACACAUUCACGAAUUGUCGUUCUUGAUAGUUGAAAUUUCAAUUGUCAAGAAUAACAGGUAUUUAAUGUCAAGAGCAACA